rnacentral:lncRNA from 1 species
CCUCCGUGUCGCGGAAGACGUUGUUGUAGCUGUCGCUGGCUACGUCCCCGGUGGCGGGCUGCAGCGGCGACGGGGCGCCCAACGGCAGACUGGCGUUCCGGGAGUCUCCCGGGGGUGCCAGGGGGUGGUGGGUGAACGUAUCCCAGAUGGACGCACCCUUGCCGUGCUGCUGCCAGCCGCCCUCGGUCUGGUAGGCGGCGCUGCCCACGGCCCAGAGGAAGCCGUCGGGGAAGGUGCCCUGGAAGAGGCCCGCGGCCUCGGGGGCAGGAGGCCGCGAGAAACGGGCCCAGGUCUGCGCGCCGUCGCCCGGCUCCGCACGCAGGCGGCGGCCGCCCAGGCCCAGCAGCACCAGCAGCAGCGACAGCGACGGCGGCGGCGGCCGCGGGCGGCGCGGCGGGGCGCUGGCGGGCAUGCUGCGCGGGAGCCAGGCUCCGGGGCCCCGCGCCGCGCCCCUUUAUGCCCGCGCCCCGCCGCGCCCGCCCGCCCACCGCCGGCGCGCCCACCCCCGCUCCCCGGCGGGCUCCGCUGGCAAUAAUUACCUGCGAGCCGGGACUGCCUCCGCCCUGGCACUGGGGGCGGGGGCAGGGGCGCCGAGGGCGAGGGGUGCCCGGGAGGGGCGCGGCAGCGGGCAAGGUGCGGCAGGCGUCGCCCGCGGACGUCGGAGAAAGGCACCUGUUUCUCCCAGCUCCCGGGAGCCGUGCAGGACGUUUCGUGGACGCUCAGGUUCAUUCUCUUUGCCUGCCGCGCGUCCUCUGAGAGCAGCCCUGGAGCGGCUUCGUCGGGGAGAAAAGGCGCCGACCAACUUUCCCCGACUUGGGGGCGGGAUCCUGCCGGGCCCUAGCGGAGCGCGCCGCUGGGGAAGCACCUGCUCUCACUUUUCUCCCACUCGGAGGCCCAAAGAAGCUCCGGCUGGACAUUGCUGGAGCCAAUUAGGGACUGGCCGAAAUCCUAGAGGGACUGCCAGGUGGGACAGCCGAGGGGGAACUUCGCCGUGCGCUGAAAGGGAUUCCCCCUUAGGACGAUGGGAGCCUUUUAACACCAAUGGAGCAGGAGAUGCACUGAUUCACAUGCACCCAAAUACAACACCAACCCCACAAGCUCUCAGCUCACCAGUCACAGACAUCACCUUCUACGGACAUAUUUUUAUUUCACUGAGCUACAACUACGGGCAAGGCAACGACGAGCUGUGUGGAGACUUCAAAACAUAGAGGACAACCUCUGCCCUCAAAGACAACAUCCAACUGAAGAAAGGAUCAAGAAAGAUGAAAAUAAAUAAGUUGUUUGAUUAUGCUGUGUUAAUAAAUGACCCAUAGAAUAAUUGUCAG